AUUGAACGCUGGCGGCAGGCCUAACACAUGCAAGUCGAGCGGAGCGGCAGACGGGUGAGUAAUGCCUACGAAUCUGCCUGGUAGUGGGGGAUAACGUCCGGAAACGGGCGCUAAUACCGCAUACUAUCGGAUGAGCCUACAGCGGAUUAGCUAGUUGUUGGGGUAAAGGCCUACCAAGGCGACGAUCCGUAACUGGUCUGAGAGGAUGAUCAGUCAGCCUGUGACGGCGACACGGUCCAGACUCCUAUGGGCGGCAGCAGUGGGGAAUCUUGGGAAAUGGGCGCAAGCCUGGGCGAGCCAUGCCGCGUGUGUGAAGAAGGUCUUCGGAUUGUAAAGCACUUUAAGUUGGGAGGCGUUCCCCACAGAAUAAGCACCGGAUAACGUCGUGCCAGCCGCCGCGGUAAUAC
rnacentral:rRNA from 1 species